CUUGCCGACAUUAAUUUAUCACGAGCAUUUUACGAUUAAUUUUUUCCUUUGACGAUUAAUUACUAUUCCUCACCAUCUGGCAGGGCAUCCGGAAGACUUACCUGGAACAAAUAAAAAAAUUACAAUAGGGCACUUGGUUAGGUAAAAUGACUGAAGUAACAAACUAGAUUGGUCACGAUGUUUAUAUGUCAUUGUGGACGAGCUUCGACAUUUCGUCAAGUCAUCUUCAAUCUACAAUGCUGAUGGUGUGUGACGAAUAGAAUUUUAAAUUCGACGUGUGGGCUGAUUAAGUGGCGAAGAGAACAAUUAGGCACUAAAAACCAUUAGCAUACGACAAUAUUUCAUAUUACUAUUAUUGAAUUAUCACACGAGUUUUUUUUCCAACUUCAGACCUUGCAUGCUGUUAAGACUUGUCAUGGGUGUGCCGCGCAAUGUCAUACAUGACGACAGGUACCAAUCUAUAUGCUUUUAAUAUGUUAUACAGCUAUUAAGCCUUUAAAUGAACUAUUAUUACAUAUGGAUACAUCAUCAAACAACUUGCCAAUAUACAGGUUGUGCAAUGGGCCAUGAACCAUCACUCAGUACUUCCCCUUCAUCUCUUCAUUAGACGCAAACCUCUAUCCCUUCAAGGAUUUUUAAGCGCAAUUCGAUUCCCAAGUAUGUAUAUAUUACUAUUUUCAGAAUGUUAUUUUAAUAAAAAUAAAUAAAUUAUGCAUAUUCCCGAAGAUCGAAGUGUUAAACAAA